rnacentral:rRNA from 1 species
UACGUAGGUGGCAAGCGUUGUCCGGAAUUAUUGGGCGUAAAGCGCGCGCAGGCGGUCCUUUAAGUCUGAUGUGAAAUCCCACGGCUCAACCGUGGAAGGUCAUUGGAAACUGGGGGACUUGAGUACAGAAGAGGAAAGUGGAAUUCCAAGUGUAGCGGUGAAAUGCGUAGAGAUUUGGAGGAACACCAGUGGCGAAGGCGACUUUCUGGUCUGUAACUGACGCUGAGGCGCGAAAGCG